rnacentral:rRNA from 1 species
UACGUAGGUGGCAAGCGUUGUCCGGAAUUAUUGGGCGUAAAGCGCGUGUAGGCGGCUUUGCAAGUCGGGUGUGAAAUCCCUCGGCUCAACCGAGGAAGUGCGCCCGAAACUGCAGAGCUUGAGUACCGGAGAGGAUGGCGGAAUUCCCCAAGUAGAGGUGAAAUUCGUAGAUAUGGGGAGGAACACCGGUGGCGAAGGCGGCCAUCUGGACGGAUACUGACGCUGAGACGCGAAAGCGUGGGGAGCAAACAGG